rnacentral:rRNA from 1 species
AUAUAGGACAAUGGGGGCAACCCUGAUCCAGCCAUGCCGCGUGUGUGAAGAAGGUCUUCGGAUUGUAAAGCAAUUUAAGUUGGGAGGAAGGGCUUUAGGUUAAUACCUUGAAGUUUUGACGUUACCAACAGAAUAAGCACUGGCUAAUUCUGUACCAGCAGCCGCGGUAAUCCAGAGGGUGCAAGCGUUAAGCGGAAUUACUGGGCGUAAAGCGCGCGUAGGUUGUGCAGUAAGAUGGGUGUAAGAUCCCCGGGCUUAACCUGGGAAGUGCUGUCAUGACUGCUGAGCUAGAGUACGGUAGAGGGUAGUGGGAUGUCCUGUGUAGCGGUGAAAUGCGUAGAUAUAGGAAGGAACACCAGUGGCGAAGGCGACUACCUGGACUGAUACUGACACUGAGGUGCGAAAGCGUGGGGAGC